rnacentral:rRNA from 1 species
ACUCAAAGGAAUAGACGGGGGCCCGCACAAGCGGAGGAGCAUGUGGUUUAAUUCGAUGAUACGCGAGGAACCUUACCUGGGCUAGAACCGGCGCUGAAUGUAUGUGAAAGCAUACAGUCCUACGGGACGGCGUUGGAGGUGCUGCAUGGUUGUCGUCAGCUCGUGCCGUGAGGUGUCGGAUUAAGUUCCAUAACGAGCGCAACCCCUACUGUUAGUUGCCAGCAAGUAAUGUUGGGGACUCUAGCAGGACUGCCGGCGCAAGCCGAGAGGAAGGUGGGGAUGACGUCAAAUCAGCACGGCCCUUAUGUCCAGGGCUACACACGUGCUACAAUGGUCGGUACAGAGGGCAGCUACUAUGUGAAUAGAUGCGAAUCUCGAAAACCGGUCUCAGUUCGGAUCGAAGUCUGCAACUCGACUUCGUGAAGUUGGAUUCGCUAGUAAUCGCGCAUCAGCCAUGGCGCGGUGAAUACGUUCCCGGGCCUUGUACACACCGCCCGU